rnacentral:rRNA from 1 species
GACGAACGCUGGCGGCGUGCUUAACACAUGCAAGUCGAACGGAAAGGCCCUGCUUUUGUGGGGUGCUCGAGUGGCGAACGGGUGAGUAACACGUGAGUAACCUGCCCUUGACUUUGGGAUAACUUCAGGAAACUGGGGCUAAUACCGGAUAGGAGCUCCUGCUGCAUGGUGGGGGUUGGAAAGUUUCGGCGGUUGGGGAUGGACUCGCGGCUUAUCAGCUUGUUGGUGGGGUAGUGGCUUACCAAGGCUUUGACGGGUAGCCGGCCUGAGAGGGUGACCGGCCACAUUGGGACUGAGAUACGGCCCAGACUCCUACGAGAGGCAGCAGUGGGGAAUAUUGCACAAUGGGCGGAAGCCUGAUGCAGCAACGCCGCGUGCGGGAUGACGGCCUUCGGGUUGUAAACCGCUUUCGCCUGUGACGAAGCGUGAGUGACGGUAAUGGGUAAAGAAGCACCGGCUAACUACGUGCCAGCAGCCGCGGUGAUACGUAGGGUGCGAGCGUUGUCCGGAUUUAUUGGGCGUAAAGGGCUCGUAGGUGGUUGAUCGCGUCGAAAGUGUAAUCUUGGGGCUUAACCCUGAGCGUGCUUUCGAUACGGGUUGACUUGAGGAAGGUAGGGGAGAAUGGAAUUCCUGGUGGAGCGGUGGAAUGCGCAGAUAUCAGGAGGAACACCAGUGGCGAAGGCGGUUCUCUGGGCCUUUCCUGACGCUGAGGAGCGAAAGCGUGGGGAGCGAACAGGCUUAGAUACCCUGGUAGUCCAUGCUGUAAACGGUGGGUACUAGGUGUGGGGUCCAUUCCACGGGUUCCGUGCCGUAGCUAACGCUUUAAGUACCCCGCCUGGGGAGUACGGCCGCAAGGCUAAAACUCAAAGGAAUUGACGGGGCCCCGCACAAGCGGCGGAGCAUGCGGAUUAAUUCGAUGCAACGCGUAGAACCUUACCUGGGUUUGACAUGGAUCGGGAGUGCUCAGAGAUGGGUGUGCCUCUUUUGGGGUCGGUUCACAGGUGGUGCAUGGCUGUCGUCAGCUCGUGUCGUGAGAUGUUGGGUUAAGUCCCGCAACGAGCGCAACCCUUGUUCACUGUUGCCAGCACGUUAUGGUGGGGACUCAGUGGAGACCGCCGGGGUCAACUCGGAGGAAGGUGGGGAUGACGUCAAGUCAUCAUGCCCCUUAUGUCCAGGGCUUCACGCAUGCUACAAUGGCUGGUACAGAGAGUGGCGAGCCUGUGAGGGUGAGCGAAUCUCGGAAAGCCGGUCUCAGUUCGGAUUGGGGUCUGCAACUCGACCUCAUGAAGUCGGAGUCGCUAGUAAUCGCAGAUCAGCAACGCUGCGGUGAAUACGUUCCCGGG